AUUGAACGCUGGCGGCAGGCCUAACACAUGCAAGUCGAACGCCUGUAGCAAUACAGGAGUGGCAGACGGGUGAGUAACACGUGGGAACGUGCCCAAAGGUACGGAACAACUCCGGGAAACUGGAGCUAAUACCGUAUGUGCCCGAGAGGGGAAAGAAUUAUCGCCUUUGGAUCGGCCCGCGUCUGAUUAGCUAGUUGGUGGGGUAAUGGCCUACCAAGGCGACGAUCAGUAGCUGGUCUGAGAGGAUGGCCAGCCACACUGGGACUGAGACACGGCCCAGACUCCUACGGGAGGCAGCAGUGGGGAAUAUUGGACAAUGGGCGCAAGCCUGAUCCAGCCAUGCCGCGUGAGUGAUGAAGGCCUUAGGGUUGUAAAGCUCUUUCGCCAGGGACGAUGAUGACGGUACCUGCAGAAUAAGCCCCGGCUAACUUCGUGCCAGCCGCCGCUGUAAGAC
rnacentral:rRNA from 1 species